AGUGAACGCUGGCGGUAGGCCUAACACAUGCAAGUCGAACGGCAGCACAGAGGAGCUUGCUCCUUGGGUGGCGAGUGGCGGACGGGUGAGGAAUACAUCGGAAUCUACUCUGUCGUGGGGGAUAACAUAGGGAAACUUACGCUAAUACCGCAUACGACCUACGGGUGAAAGCAGGGGAUCUUCGGACCUUGCGCGAUUGAAUGAGCCGAUGUCGGAUUAGCUAGUUGGCGGGGUAAAGGCCCACCAAGGCGACGAUCCGUAGCUGGUAUGGGAGGAUGAUCCGCCACACUGGAACUGAGACACGGUCCAGACUCCUACGGGAGGCAGCAGUGGGGAAUAUUGGACAAUGGGCGCAAGCCUGAUCCAGCCAUACCGCGUGGGUGAAGAAGGCCUUCGGGUUGUAAAGCCCUUUUGUUGGGAAAGAAAUCCAUCUGGUUAAUACCCGGGUGGGAUGACGGUACCCAAAGAAUAAGCACCGGCUAACUUCGUGCCAGCCGCCGCCGUAA
rnacentral:rRNA from 1 species